GCCACACAGAUAAUGAACAUCAUUUGGAACUUAUGCCCAAACCAUCUGACCUUAGAAGCCAUCCUUUUGGCUCCAGACUAGCUCAUGCCUCACCUUUGGUCUGGGGUGGACUUUGGCAGCUUCUGAUUGCCCUGCACUGACGCCACAUGUACUUUUUUUAAUGAAAACAAUGCUUGGCGAAGAACGACCCUGAAGAGUAAAUGUGAAGUCAGAGCUCUGAAAUUGUUUCCCAUCAUAUUUCCUGAAAGCAAUUGUUCAUGAAGAUAAGGUGGUACUUCCAGUAAAACUGUGACAGUCCCAGAGGUGCUGACUCACUCUGAGCGCAGUGUCAUUCCUGGAACUGUCCUAUAUAAAGUGGCCUGUCAGCUACAGCAGAGACAGCAGGCCUCUCUGGUCAUGGCGCCUCUCCCUAGCUUUCCUUCAAGAGCCAUGUGCACAAGACACCUUCUGGCUACCUGGGGCUUCCACAGUUGUUAGAGAAGUCAACGUUCUACCAUCCAGAUCUACUACACACUGAUACAGCAAUGGGCAUUUGUUUUCCUCUAAACAAAAAGGAGGUAAGAAGAAAAAGGAUUCCGAAAGACAGACGACUGUGUGGAGAGUGUGUCUUAUCUGCAUAAGCCUUUGGAGGACAAAAGAAGACAAGGGAGCACCUAGACCUGAGUUACUAGCAUUUGUGAGCCAUCGUGUGGAUUCUAGGAACCAAGCCCAGGUCCUCUGCAGGAACAGACAAAGACUCUUCGUGGAGCCCAGAAUUCAUUUCGAGUAUCCAAAGUGUCAACGUUCUGUUUUCUCACCCGUAGUUACAUACAGUCAGUCUCAGAAAGUGUUGAGUUUGGAGUAAAAAAUAACAAACAAAUAUUGUAGUCUAGCUUCCUUGGAUGCUUCCAAACCACCUCCAAAUGACAAAGUGAAACUAGUUGAAAGCACUUGCAAGCUUUGAGUUCUACUCAAAUGCUUAAUGAAAAGAUCUCCAGAGAAGAAGCAGAUCCUUCCUUCUCCGGGAUGCCAGUUGCCUUCAACCUCGUUAAUAUUCUUAAUUAUUCAAGAGGGGGCUGAGGUUGCCAUGUCUAUGAGGUUGUCAUAGAUCAAUUAAAUCCUGAGACUUUCUGAGGUGACAUUCAGAUCGGUGACAAGGUGAAAGGAAAUCAAUUUUCACUUUUCAGCCUGCGGGUGCCCACGGAUUUCCUGGGGUGAGUGGCGAACUCUCAUUUCAGACACAAAGGCAAAGAUGGCCUUGUCUUCUGGGGCCAGAGGCUGAUUGCUGAGGUGAUGCCUGGAAGAAUGGGAACCCCAGGGGUCUUGCCUCGCCAUUAGGGGCUCUGAUACAAAAAAAGACCUCUUUAUUCUGGAGUCAGAAAAAAGCCGAGGAUGGAAUUCCUAUUUCACCAAUCCUUGAAGUGAAAUUACCCCGCACAUUUGGACUUCAAGCAGGGAUAAGAGCAGCAGCCAUCAUUAUUCAGCCAAUACAUGAUGGGAAGAAAUGCUUUCUGAGGAAGAAUGCCACCUCACGGGGAGGAAAAAUGAGUCAAGGUGGAGCAGAGUGAGCCCGCCAUUUAAUCGGCGAUCACCCUGACCUGUCGGACUUCGUCCGGCUAGGCUAGUUCCUGUAUGUUUGGGUCAAAGAAGAAGAUAAUUAAACAAAGACUGGAGCAUUGAGAGGCCUGAUAUUUCCAGGGGUUGCACUGUGAGCAAGCUGGAUAGAUGUGCGAUGCUUUUAAUGCAUUCCGUUUCCUAAUUAGCAAUCAGGGCCCAUUUGUCAGUCAUUCCAGCCAUGACGCAUACAACCCUGGAACAUAGGGCGGAGCAAGGCAAGUUGAGAAAAUCAAUUAUGCCUAUGUUUACAUUCCCUUAAGGCUGGGGUGUUGCAAAACUGCCUAAAUAUUGCAUUCUCCUUACAAAGGAGCAGGAAGGAAGGGUGAGACUGCAAUUCAGUAUAAUGAAUAAAUCUCUUGCUGUUUGGAGAAAGGUACAAUGGCUGAAUAUUUAUGAGACUGCUGAUGGGUAAUGCAUUUUAUGUGAUCUGCAACUGUGAAAAUGGAAUUCCAUUUUUAGACCUCGCAGGAACAAGUACAUGUUCAAGAAAUGAAGACUGUGCUUGUGCCUACAGAAGUUCCGUGCAAACGGUCCAGGAUUUAGCCUCAUGUUCGAAACUGGAUGGAAGAAUGGGGAGUUAAUGUCCGGCUCAGAUAAUCACUGCUUGCAAAGUCGCCUCAGACUCAGAGACGAGAAAUGAGAACAGGGCCUGGAACUGAGCAGACACAUGCAUUUGUCUUUCUUCCUCACAACACAACCGACUGCUGCAAGUUCCUGCUACCUUUGACUUCCCAUCAUGAUGAACUGUUCUCGGAUCCCAGGUCCAGCAAACAAGAGCUGCAUAGAUCAGCGAAGUUGACACAUCACAAGACAGUUUAUUCUUCUGCACACAUCUCUACAACAGUGCUUCCCUUGUCCUUCCACUCUCUUAAUGGAGUCCUGAGCACACCCAAGGGUAAAUGAAUUGAGUGUUAACCUUGGUCACUGGCUGAGCAGUACCUGCAAGGGAUCUCCCACAUCAGUAAUGGCUGUGUUGACAUUUGCCCACACACAGUUGUCCUAUGACUUCAGCCUUCCUGAAUUAGUGGUUCUUACAGCUGCACUUACCUAGAACUUGGCGCUCCCUCGCAUGGAUUGGAAGCUAUCCAGUUACUGUCCUCCACCACCGGAAGUUAGCUUGCUCCUGAUACCUUACCAUUACAAAUAAUGCUGGGACAUGUAACUUCACCCUAUCAUUGUGCUUGAAGAAAGUCUUCAGAGUAGAUUCUUAAAAAUGACCUGCAGCUAUUCCCUGGGAGAAAGGAAAAUGGGGAAGCAUGCAUUCUAUCAGCUCUCUGAGUCCCAGGAGGAACUACUCAGACGGUGAGAGAAAAAAUAAUUUCCUUGUCUGUAAAAUGAGUCCUCUGGCUUAGCCCGUGCCUUUUGCCCUCGGAGCUCGGUAAGGAUGAAAUAUUUGUGAGUUUCUUUACUCCUCAGGAGAAAGUUAACUGCAUGUAGCUACUCCAGCAAACUAUCAGAGGAUCUGCUGCUAUGACCCGGGUGAGAAUCGUAAUGAAAGCUAAAAUGUGCUGUGUGGGAGCCUACCACUACGUUGUGCCUCCAGAUACUUAUUUCUGGUGGAUCAUUGUUAGAAUCCCAAUCAGCAAGGCUGCCACAGCUUGUCCUGUUGUUGAGAAUGUUGACAUGCUCAGUAUACAUACAAGAAGACAGAAAUAACUGACACUUGGGAUACUAUCUUUUCAGACAAGUUUUAUUGAAUCCUGCUAGACAUCAUAAGAAGAAAGCAUGGGGUGAGAGGGGCACAUACCUUUGAUCCCAGCACUGGGGAGGCAGAAGCAGGCAGAUCUCUAAAUUUGAGGCCAACCUGAUCUGCAGAGCGAGUUCCAGGACAGCCAGGGCUACACAGAGAAACCUUAUCUUGAAAAGAAGAUUUAAAAUAAGAUAAAAAAUAAUAAGGAAACUAUAGAAGUGUACCAACGACAUGACAGCUAGUAGAACACCAGUACACAGGUAUGCAUACAUGUGUGCAUGUCAAGUCCAGAGGGUAGCCUCAAGUAUUGUUUCUUGAGUGCCAUUUACCUGGUUUGUUUAUUUUGAAAAUGGCCUCUUACUGGUCUGAAACUCACCAAGUAGGCUAGGCUGGCCAGCAGGCCAGUGAGCCCCAGAAAUCUGCCUGUCUCUGCCUCCCCAAAGCAGGAAUUAUAUGUGCUUACUACUCCACUACCUUUUUUUUUUUUUAAUGCAAGCUCUGGGGCUGGAUCUCAGGUCUUCCUUACAGGCCAGCAUGUUACCACUGAACUAUUGCCUCGGCUCAAAUGUUUUGAAUUUUAAAGCCAUGUUCUUUUCAACACAUAGAAUGGCCACCAGCAGACAUGUGUUUCAUCUUCCCUCCGGUGAAUGUCAGCAUUCCAAUCUAGGAAUCUUGAAAGUGGGCGUGACUCGCCAUUUGUAGCCCAUGCACUUGUUUGCAGAUGCACUGUUUUGAGACAAUGCUACGCUGGUGCUCUUACUUCAUGGGAAAGGAGAGAGAAUUCUGCUAACCAGGAACCGCAGUUCUGGGGCAACUGAAGAUAAGCCAGUGAGGCAAAUGGCCUUGAGCCUAGGGAAGAAGGUAUUGAGGCUGUUUCUAAAAUACUCAUCGGGUUAAAAUUCCUAUCUUAUUGAAUGCCAUAAGCUUUCACGUUUGCCUCGUAAAGGAUGCAACACACUUAUAUCAGCACCAGUAGAUUUUAUCACUACAGCAAUAGUGACCGAGCAGAAGACAUGUGCAGUCCAGGCAAGUACUGUAGCACUGAGAUACAUCCCCACCCUGUCACAGGGUGGAUUCCUUCCCUAUACCAAUUCCCAGCUAAUCUCAAUGUCAGGAUUUGAGAUAGGGAGGCCUCUGCCAAGGUUAGGAGGCUGUUCUGGGUUAGACGAGCUGGCUGGGGGAGGGGGGGUAAGCGGUAACGGAAGGCUAUAUUCCCGUUAUUAAAUAAAGCCAAACCUCAUUGGUCCUUCACUAGAGCAAACGUCAUGAAAAUUAUAAACCAUGCAUAAACAAGAUUCACUUCCGCCCUCCUGGCAAAGGAUGACGUAAGAGUGUACACGUCAUUAUUGCAGACUGUAAAUAUGCAGGAUUCUCCCCUCCAGACACUAUCUUGAGAGCCACAGGCAGUGACCCUGUUUGGUCGUGAUUAGGUAAACCAAGGUAGAGAUAACAUGACCCACUCUCUAACCAUGUUAAACAUUUCUAUGUAUUAGUCCCUGUGGGCUGCUGUGACAAAGUAACUCACUAGAAGAAUUUAUAAAGGAGAGAAGUUGCACACUACAGUAGCACACACCUACAAU